CGGCUCCAAAAUUGUUUGCCUUGCCUUACGUCAGAAUCGAAGUUGAAACUUCAAACACAGAUUGUCUUCAUCGCUAACGGGGCGCGAGCCAUAAUCUCAAACGCAGAAAUGGGUACUUCAAGAUUCACCCGCCCUAAGGGCUUAGAUGGAGAAUCAACCCCUAAUCUCUUUGUGGCCAACUGCGGGCCGGCUGUUGGCUUAUCACUUGAUGAGAUUGCUUCAGCGUUCUGCAAAUUUGGGGAAGUUUGUGGAGUCUACCCAGCUGAUGAAAGUGGUGCUCGUGUCAUUGUUUCUUAUUCUGAAGUGGGUUCUGCCCAAGCAGCCUUAAAAGCAUUAGAUGGACACUCAUGCUCUGAUCUCGGAGGACGUGUUCUGCACAUACGGAACUCCAUACUUCGACCUCCUUCCCAGGUGAAGGAUUCAGUUUCAGUAUGUUUGCUGGAUUCGGAGUUGGGAAUUCCAGGCAUUUACUUGUUGCAUGACUUCGUUACCACUGAAGAAGAGGAAGAACUCCUUGCAGCAGUGGAUGGUAGGCCAUGGAAAAGUCUCUCAAAACGAAGGGUUCAGCAUUAUGGCUAUGAGUUUUUGUAUGAAGCGAGGAAUGUUAAUACAGAACAGCAGUUGGGUGAACUUCCUCACUUUGUUUCUCCCAUACUUGAAAAAAUCUCAUUGUUUCCCCACAUUGAAAAGGCUGAAGAUGUUACUUUGGACCAACUGACGGUCAAUGAAUACCCUCCUGGAGUGGGCUUGUCUCCACAUAUAGAUACUCAUUCUACAUUUGAAGGAUUAAUUUUCAGCCUCUCAUUAGCUGGGCCUUGUAUCAUGGAGUUCAGAAGAUAUUCACAAGGCACAUGGCUUCCUUCAUCUCUCUCCAGUACUGGCAUGCAAGAGCAAAAUCCUGACUACUGUUCAAGUUUUACAAGGAGGUCUAUUUUCCUUCCUCCUCGGUCAAUGCUUCUAUUAUCUGGGGAGGGGCGAUAUGCCUGGCAUCACUAUAUUCCACAUCAUAAGGAUACUUUUGAUAGGUUGAUAUGGUGAGGGACAACAUGAUCAGAAGGGGUUCAAGGAGGGUUUCCUUCACAUUCCGUAAGGUCAGAGCAGUACCAUGCCAGUGUGAAUUUCCACAGUACUGUGAUUCUCAAAAGUAAGAUGCCAUUGAUGUCAGCCACUAAAGUCCAUAGCUUUCGUUGAACCAGUUCUCAUCAAGCAGCAGACGUGAGUUGAACUAAACUCCAUCAAUUAUGACACUUCAAGCAUCCUCGUCACUUAUCUGAUAGCUCACGGAACAUGUUGCCGUAGUUCACAACUAAUCUGAUUAAGGACCAACAGACUGAAGAAAUGGCAAAAGUGAAGGAUGAUUGGAAUUCUUGCUGCAAUACCUCCUAUUUUUCAUGGAGGAAAAUGGGGCAAUUUUUUGGCAUGAUGCGUUUGCUUCAAAACAUGAAAUACCUAUACAUCUUGUAGUGUCACACCCAAAUUUGGGUAUGAGAUUGAUUUCUGGUUCUUCUAUUCCCUUUUCUCUGAUCAGGUGGAAAGAGAGGUAAUAGUUUCAAUCUAUUGAGGUAAAAUGGAAGAUUCAGGUUAGAUGACAGAAUUUUUGCUAGGAGUUUCUUGGCCUUUUACUGGGAAUGAAGUUUCAAUUUUUAUUUUCCAUUUUAAGAAUGAACCGCACUGGCUCUA